UUUCCUUUUCUCCAACCGGCGGAAUCUUUUUUGGCAUUUGCGGUUGUUGUGAAUGAUUUCCCAUUGGAAACUCAUUAUCAGGAAUGAUGAAAUGAUUAUCGCGUCAAAAUAUGUCGGAGAAAUGUGACUGAGGAUAUUUUAAUAUUGUGAUAAUUAUUCUUUGGAUUAUUUAAACUUGUAAAGAUUGUUACAGGAAAGCCUUUUACAGACUUUAGAAUAUUUUGCAUCAUUACUUUCGAACCUGAAAAUUCCUGCCAUCAUCUUCAAGCUUAAAGACCGGAAUCCAGCGUAUUCCUGUCAACUUCUAUUUUUGGCAACUGGGCGAAACCAGACUGAAAACUGUCAAGGGAGUCUCCAGUGUCUGGUGAAUCCAAGUUCAACGCCAGUUCA